rnacentral:rRNA from 1 species
GACGAACGCUGGCGGCGUGCCUAAUACAUGCAAGUCGAACGCAGUGGGGACGGGUGAGUAACACGUGGGUAACCUCCCAUCAGAGGGGAUAACACUUGGAAACAGGUGCUAAACCGAUACUGAUGGAUGGAACCGCGGUGCAUUAGCUAGUUGGUGAGGUAACAGCUCACCAAGGCCACGAUGCAUAGCGUACCGUGGAGGGUGUUCUGCCACACUGGACCUUAGACACGGCCGAGAGUCCUACGUGAGGCAGCAGUAGGGAAUCUUCUGCAAUGGACGAAAUUCGGCCACAGCAACGCCGCGUGAGUGAAGAAGGUUCUCGGAUUUUAAAUCUCGUUUGUUAGAGAAGCGGUAUCUAACCAGAAAGCCACGGCUAACUACGUGCCAGCCGCCGCGGUAAUUC